AACUUUUGGCAAUGGAUCUCUUGGUUCUCGCAUCGAUGAAGAACGCAGCGAAAUGCGAUAAGUAAUGUGAAUUGCAGAAUUCAGUGAAUCAUCGAAGCUUUGAACGCACUUUGCGCUCCCUGGUAUUCCGGGGAGCAUGCCUGUUUGAGUGUCGUGAAAUCAUCAUGGUCAUCAUCUUUCACUGAUCGUGGAUUGCUCUUGGAGGAUAUGUUUGCAUUUUAUUUAGUCGACUCCUCUUAAAUACAUUAGCUAAGUGUUUAAUGCUUUGCGCGGUUCACUGUGUGAUAAUUAUCUACACUUCACCUAAUCUAAGUUAACUUGCUACUCCGUGAUCCUUAGUGAGCACUUUGUGUAUUUGACCUCAAAUCAGGUAGGACUACCCGCUGACCUUAAGCAUAUCAAUAAUCGGAGGCU
rnacentral:misc_RNA from 1 species